rnacentral:rRNA from 1 species
GACAGAGGGUGCAAACGUUGUUCGGAAUUACUGGGCGUAAAGCGUGUGUAGGCGGCCACGUAAGUCGGAUGUGAAAGCCCCGGGCUCAACCUCGGAAUUGCCUUCAAUACUGGCUGUCUUGAGUGUGAGAGAGGUGUGUGGAACUCCGAGUGUAGAGGUGAAAUUCGUAGAUAUUCGGAAGAACACCAGUGGCGAAGGCGACACACUGGCUCACUACUGACGCUGAGGCGCGAAAGCGUGGGGAGCAAACAGG